AAAUAUUAGUGGUGUGAAUGGUAAACUUAGUAGUGAUUAUUAAAACAAUCAAUAACAACAACAAUAUUAAUAAUAAUAAUAAUAAUAAUAAUAAUAAUAAUAAUAAUAAUAAUAAUAAUAAUAAUAACAAUAAAGAUAAUAAAAUAAUAAUAAUAAUAAUAAUAAUAAUAAUAAUAAUAAUAAUAAUAAUAAUAAUAAUAAUAAAACUUAUUCUUAUUCUUAUUAUUACUAUUAUAAAAUUAACAUUAAUACAGCAGUAAUGCUAAUAGUGACGAUGGCGGUGUUCGUACUGAAUAUUAUUAAAAUUAUUCUUACCGUUAUGAUUAACACAUUAUAGUAGUAGUAGUAGUAGUAGUAGUAGUAAUAGUAGUAGUAGUAGUAGUAGUAGUAGUAGUAGUAGUAGUAGUAGUAGUAGUAAUAGUAGUGGUAGUAGUAGUAGUAGCAGUAAUAGUUUUUUUUUUUUUUUUACGACAAAGGAGGCAGCUCAAGGGCACAAAAAAAAAAAUAGUAGUAGUAGUGGUAGUAAUAGUAGCAGUAGUAGUAGUAGUAGUAGUAGUAGUAGUAGUAGUUUUAAUAGCAGUAGUUGUUGUUGUUAAGGUUGUAGUAGUAGCAGUAGUAGCAGUAGUAGUAGUAGUAGUAGUAGUAGUUUUAGUAGCAGUAGUUGUUGUUGUUAAGGUUGUAGUGGUAGAAGUAGUAGUAGUAGUAGUAGUAGUAGUAGUAGUUUUAGUAGCAGUAGUUGUUGUUGUUGUUAAGGUUGUAGUAGUUGUAGUAGUAGUAGUAGUAGUAGUAGUAGUAGUAAAGUAGUUGUUGAAGUUAAAGUUGUAGUAGUAGUAGCAGUAGUAGUAGUAGCAGGAGUAGUAGUAGUAGUAGUAGUAGCAGCAGUAGUAAAUUAGUUGUUGUAGUUAAAGUUGUAAUAGUACUAGUAGUAGCAGUAGUAGUAGUAGUAGUAGUAGUAGUAGUGGUAAUAGUAGUAGUAGUAAUAGUAGUAGUAGUAGUAGUAGACGUAGUAGUAGUAGCAGCAGUAGUAAAUUAGUUGUUGUAGUUAAAGUUGUAAUAGUACUAGUAGUAGUAGUAGUACUAGUAGUAGUAGUAGUAGUGGUAGUAGUAGUAGUAGCAGUAGUAGUAGUAGAAGUAGUUGUUGUUGUAGUAAAAGUAGUAAUUCAGUAGUAGUAGGGAAAAGGAGGAGGAGGAAUAAUAGGAGUAGGUUGAAGAAACUGGUUGAAACUUUUGUGGAAGACUGCGGCAACCCUCACGGAAGGCACGAUGUUCAAAUAUGUGCCAAGACCGCGCCAAUGCUUGGAAGUGUCUCAAAAUUGGGUGACAUGCAGCAGAACGUGUCAUCUUUCGAAAGCACCUCACCUCACACACCACUAUUACCUUAACUGUUUUUUUUUUUUUUUUGCUUUAGUUUUUAUUAUCUUUGUUCGAGCCAGUAGUCUUGGAAGAUUUUAGGUAUAUUAACUUAAAUAAAAGUUAAUGUGAGGAAAUUAUAUGUUAACUAAUCAAAGUCUGUAAUUAAUGUUUCGUAAAGAACGUUACAGUUAUGGUUCCGGAGAGACUCCACGUCAGCUUAGUCUAUUGAGCUUCCCGUCACUUGGUUCUCAGUCUAAGAAAGUUUCUUCCCCAUAAUGUUUUGUAAUGGAAAUGUAGGGACGUUUUUUUUUCCACUACUUUCGCUAUAUUCGCGCACAGGGUCUGAAUGCCUGGCAACCCCCCGGCGCAGUUUACGGAUUAAUUGAUGUCCCACCCUCUCCUCAGUCUUUAACAAACAUAGCAGUUGAUUAAGUCACUGCAAUUAAGUAUCCCGCUUCCUUUCCAGCCACUGUUUGAAAUACACUCUUGCCCAGGCUCAGACUAACCAGAGGCGCCCGACGUCUCAUUCGAGUAAGAAGUGUUCUCCCGUAAUUUUCUGCUUUAAACAAGUAUUAUGUUAAAUUCUUACACCCUCCUCCUCUCUCAGAUGAUAAAAGAAAGAUAUAUCUCCAUAUAUUGUGUAUACUAAACAAACAGGAGAACCACCCGACCUCUCAAUCAGGUCGAUUUGGCUCGUCGCGUCUCGCCGUCCCUGUGUCCACAAGUCACACGCACAUACAAACUCAUCCCCCGUUUUGUUUUGUUUUGUUUUGUUUUGUAGUCCAGUCGAAAUAAGUCAGGUGAGUCCGACCGCACUUUCUUAUUCUUAUUGCAAUUAGCUAUAAAUCUUAAUUUUAAUGCAUCCACUUGUUAUUUUUCACUUGCGAGGGUUUUUAUAAAUUUCUCAGGUAAAGCCCCUUAAGUUGUACUGAAUCCCCCUCUGUACUUUGAUAUUUCUUCCUCCACUACUUUGAUUACGCAGAGAUUAACCGGAACGCGUAUGUAGAUAUUGCUGACGUCAUCUGUCAUCUGCUGGAGAUAAAUAAUUUCCAUUUGAAACUGAUUAAGAUUUUCAACAUUGCAGUCAAAUCCAUUUUGGUAGAGGAUGAUUUCAUUUGCUUUGGCAUCAAGGUCGCAAAGUCUCUCCUGAAAUCGAAGGAUGUGGCCCCCGUGCCAUACUAUGGAGAUCCCAGGGACUCUUGUUCUUCAGGUAGUCAUUAUCAUUACGCAGCACGUACCACUCAAAGACAACCGGGCGCGACACUUAUGUUCUUAUAAGUUUUUUAUAUUUUUUUAUACACCACACACACACACACACAUUAAGGAAAAACUAAACAAGUACAGAUAUGGAGACGGGACCACACGAUCGUAAGCCCAGGCCCUGUACAAUUACAAUCAGGUAAAUACAACUAGGUAACACACACACACACACACACACACACACACACACACACACACACACACACACUCCAGUACACACAAACACACACACAAGCACAGCCACAAGCCACAAGCGAGCCUGCAAAAUCAUCCUGGGCCCUCACUACACCAGCUACCAGGACGCCCUCGACUCCCUCCACUAUACCGGUUCGCAACCAAGGUUAUCAACCAGCCCAGACACAGACACAUCCUGCCACCCCCAGUGAACCGCCCUCAGCACUCAGUAAGACACCACAACAUUAUUGCCUCGACAUGGGCACGGACUGACCGCUAUAAGAACGGCGCCGUGCCCACGAUGAUCAAGUAUAUCAACAAUGCAAAUAAAGAGCAGCACUAUUUGUAUGUUUUGUAAAUAUUUUUCCUUAGUACUUAUCGUUGUUGUUAUUAUUAUUAUUAUUAUUAUUAUUAUUUUUAUUAUUAUUAUUAUUAUUAUUAUUAUUAUUAUUAUUAUUAUUAUUAUUAUUAUUAUUAUUAUUAUUAUGAUGAUGAUUAUUAUUAUUAUGAAUAUUAUUAUGAUUAUGAUUACUAUUAUUAUUAUUAUUAUUAUUAUUAUGAUUAUUAUUAUUAUUAUUAUUAUUAUUAUUAUUAUUAUUAUUAUUAUUAUUAUUAUCAUGAUUAUUAUUAUCAUCUUCACUAUGAUUAUUGCUAUUAUUGUUAUUUCUAUUUUCCUUUUUAUUUUCAAUCAUACUACUUCGUUCAUUUGUCUCAUUCAUUUCAUUUCAUCUUCCAUUGAUGUAUAUUUCAGCUCUAGGGCUGCCUGGUACUUCAUGCAAUAAACCGUUUAUUAUUAUUAUUAUUAUUAUUAUUAUUAUUAUUAUUAUUAUUAUUAUUAUUAUUAUUAUUAUUAUUAUUAUUAUUAUUAUUAUUAUGACACACACACACACACACACACACACACACACACACACACACACACACACACACACACACACACACACACA